rnacentral:rRNA from 1 species
UACGUAGGGUGCAAGCGUUAAUCGGAAUUACUGGGCGUAAAGCGUGCGCAGGCGGUUGUGCAAGACAGGUGUGAAAUCCCGGGCUUAACCUGGGAACUGCACUGUGACUGCACAGCUGGAGUACGGCAGAGGGGAUGGAAUUCCGCGUGUAGCAGUGAAAUGCGUAGAUAUGCGAGGAACACCGAUGGCGAGCAGUCCGUGGCCUGUAACGUGACGCUCCAUGCACGAAGCGUGGGAGCAAACAGG